rnacentral:lncRNA from 1 species
AGGAGUUUUAAAGUAACGGUGAAAAGUUCUCUCCCCAGCCUCCCAAUCUGACUCCUUAAUUGUCAGCAUGAAAAGAAUUUUUUAUGCCCAGCUUAUGUACCUGAAAUGAAUCUUCCUGAAGGUGUGAUUCAGCUAAAACCAUCCAGCAGUUUCAGAUCUGAGAUUGGACCCCAAGUCUCCCCCUGCUACAGCCUUUUUGGGUUACUCUGUCGUACUGACGUGUAAGCUGGUUACUGUCCUGCCAGCCUGGGAUUCCCAGUACACCUGGAGAGAACAGUAACAGAAUGGCUAGAGCAUCUUUGAAGAACUGCUUUUCCUAAUGUGCAUGUGUUCUCUGUUAGCGUUCAGCAUCUAGACCAGCGCUCCAGCAUAAAUGCUCCUUGGAAAAGCUCACUCUGUGCCCAGGAACCAGUGCUUGAAUGUUGUGAAAGAAAAAUACUCUGAGUUGGGAAACGCUGGACGGGGCAUGUCAUGAGGCAGAAGCCAAGGCACACAGAGGUCAAGUCCAUGCCCAGAGUCACAGCGCUCCUUCGUACCAGAGUUCAGGUUGAGGCCUCUGGGCCUGGUGCCCAUGCUCUGGACCGCUGGUUGUGUGCUUCUUACGGAUCUUCCCCAAGUUGCCUAACACCUCUGUGUUCUGUCCUCAUUGAAUUUCCACAUCUAUGCUCCACUCUGCUGGGAAUGCUUGCUCCUAAAGCCUGGCCAGCUUCCAUUCACCCGAGGCUGUGGCCCUCUGUGACUUCCCGAGUCCAGGCCAGACAUCUCCGCCAGAUCUGCCCGUCUCUGGUCCUUCCCUCCAUCACGGAACUCUUCCACUUGCAUUUUGGUUGGUACCCCCGCCAGGGGCGGUCUCAGCAAGGGGGAGCCGUUUGUCACUCUCGUCCUCUCCUCCAAACAUGCUCCAGCAUAGCUUUUGGAAUAUUUAACAGCUGGGUGUUUCCAUUCCUGGGAAAACAAACUAAGAGAUGGUUUUUAAUGGCCUUCUUCGUACUAGAGAUUGUUCCAGAUGUAGUCAAGGGUGUAAGAAAAAUUAAAAGUAUUUGUGGGGGGGGGGAUACAAUCACCAUUUCUACCGCCCGCAAACACUGAACAUUUUGGCAUGUGUGUGCUCCUGACUUUUUCAUGUUUAUUUGCUUUUUUUUUUAAUCUGUCUGUCUACCUAUCUGAUUAUGUAUAUAUCUUUCUAAAUGUAAUCCUACUAUAUGCAUUGUUUGUUUUUUGGUUUGUUGGUUUGUAUUUUGUCUUUUUGCCAU